CUGUGAUCCAGCAACUCCACUGCUGGGUAUUUACCCAAAGGAAACGAAAACAGGACAUCACAACGAUAACUGAACCCCAUGUUUACCGCAGCAAUAUUUACGAUAGCUAAGAUAUGGAAACAACCAAAGUGUCCACGGAUGGAUCCACGGAUAAAGAAGAUGUAUAUAAUGGAAUCUUUUUUGGCGACGAGAAGGAGGGAAACCUUGCCAUUGUGUGACAUCGUGGAUGGACACUGACGACAUUGUUCUCAGGGAGAUAAUCUCCUGGAAGGACUCAUCUGACCGGGUCAGGCCCAGUUGUUGACAAAACAUAAAAUAAUAGCGGGCAAAUGAAAUGACAAAUAGGACAAAAGACUGAAUUUUGGAAUGAUAUUUGCACCGUACUUUUUGGCAGAAGAUAACUGAUAGACCGACCUGCCUAGAAGUGAGACGAAGGUAGCCUGGUCAAACUCUGGUCCUAAACACAAAACCAAGAUGGCACAGAAGGAACGGUGGUUGCUUCUCUAUCGCUCGGCCUGUCUCUUGAAAGUUAAUGCCAUUUGUGUCUGUCAGUUUUUCCCCACAUGCAAACACACACACGUGCACGCACACACACACCUUUGCCCAGACAGACCAACAAGGACCAGCAACUUGGCUGGCUGGCAGUAUCUGGAAGGUUUCCAGCCCCUUCUGUCAAUCCCCAAAGCGCUGUGCAACCUCACCAGAGGUGCGGUGUAUUUCUAGCCACAGAGGUUCAAGUUUUCGAUCACAAAGACGCAAGGGCUGUAGAGAAAGGGGAAGUCUGAAGCCGAUGCUUUACGUGGGGGACCCAGCUGGGAGGACAUUUAGCAACCGUAGAUUGGAGCUAAAGAACCACAUCUCCUUCUCGCUUCCUCAGCAGGGAAGGAACUGAGCUGACCGUGUGACGAUGGUGUCAGUGCCGUCUGCGCUGGAGCCCCAGCAAGAAAACCGAGGAGUUUUUUUCUCUGGAUUUGGCAUCCUUCUCCCGAGGGCGCACUGCUCUGAUUUCCAGCUCUGACUUCAGCCCUUUGCUCAAUGAUUCUACUUACGGUUCUCUUCCUGCUUGCGGCCCCCACCCUGCACAUCCAUACACCCACCCACGGGGGGCGGGUACGUGCACACACACCCGCAUGCACCCAUUACGUAGACUUACCCCAGUUACAUGCAUACGCAUACAUGCAAGACCAGAUAGAAACUCGGAUAAAUGCACUUAGCCACACACGGGCACACACGUGCUGUCACACUCAGACACACACUGACACAUCUAUCCACAUCUGCAUAUACACGUUCUUAUAACGGCAAAUGCACACACUCUGGAACGCAGACACGCGUGCACAAAUACACGCAAUGUUCAGAGGCA